AUCUCUAGAUCUGCAAGUUUUUUAACUAGCUUUGACUUUUCAGAGUCAAUCUUAUCAUCAAAUAUGAAAUGUAUUGAUUCGUCCACAAUUUCAGUUUCUGUAUUGUAUACUCUGUAGCCUUUAGAGCGUGCUGAGUAUCCCAACAUAAUACCUUUUUAUGCUUUUGAAUCAAACUUGUUCAGAUGUUCUUUAGUGUUAAGGAUAAAAUAGGAGCAUCCAAAAGGAUGAAAAUAAG
rnacentral:lncRNA from 1 species